AAACUUUCAACAACGGAUCUCUUGGUUCUGGCAUCGAUGAAGAACGCAGCGAAAUGCGAUAAGUAAUGUGAAUUGCAGGAUUCAGUGAAUCAUCGAAUCUUUGAACGCACAUUGCGCCCGCCGGUAUUCCGGCGGGCAUGCCUGUUCGAGCGUCAUUU
rnacentral:rRNA from 1 species